rnacentral:rRNA from 1 species
UACGUAGGUCACAAGCGUUAUCCGGAAUUAUUGGGCGUAAAGGGUUCGUAGGCAGUGAAGCGGGUCUUCGGUAAAAGCCCCAAGCUUAACUUGGGUUUCGCCGAAGAAACUACUUUUCUUGAAGAUAGCAGGGGCAUACGGAAUUCCCGGUGUAGCAGUGAAAUGCGUUGAUAUCGGGAAGAACACCAGUGGCGAAAGCGCUUCACUGGGCGGUUGCUGACACUGAGGGACGAAAGCAAGGGGAGCAAACAGG